rnacentral:rRNA from 1 species
CUAAGACAUGCGAGUCGAGCGUCUCUAGCUAUGUUGAGACGCGGCAGACGGCUCAGUAACACGUGGCUAACCUACCCUCAGGACAAGUACAAACCCGGGAAACUGGGGCUAAUACUCGAUAGGCGAAGGCGCCUGGAAUGGUUCUUCACCCAAAGGGCUUUAGAAACAUGCUUCUAGAGUCGCCUGGGGAUGGGGCCGCGUCCGAUCAGGUUGUUGGUGAGGUAACGGCUCACCAAGCCUAUAACCGGUACGGGCCGUGAGAGCGGUAGCCCGGAGAUGGGUACUGAGACAAGGACCCAGGCCCUACGGGGCGCAGCAGUCGCGAAAACUCCGCAAUGCACGAAAGUGUGACGGGGCUACCCCGAGUGCCGUCCGCUGAGGAUGGCUUUUCCUUGGUGUAACUAGCCGGGGGAAAUAGGAGAGGGGCAGACUGGUGUCAGCCGCCGCGGUAA